CCUANGGGUGGCAGCAGUAAGGAAUAUUGCGCAAUGGGCGAAAGCCUGACGCAGCGACGCCGCGUGGGGGAUGAAGGUCUUCGGAUUGUAAACCCCUUUCGGGAGGGAAGAUGGAACGAGCAAUCGUUCGGACGGUACCUCCAGAAGCAGCCACGGCUAACUUCGUGCCAGUAGCCGCGGUAAUACGGAGGGUGCGAGCGUUGUUCGGAAUUACUGGGCGUAAAGCGCGUGUAGGCGGCCUUGUAAGUCAGGCGUGAAAGCCCUCGGCUUAACCGGGGAAGUGCGUCUGAAACUGCUUGGCUUGAGUACGGGAGAGGGAGGCGGAAUUCCCAGUGUAGAGGUGAAAUUCGUAGAUAUUGGGAGGAACACCGGUGGCGAAAGCGGCCUCCUGGACCGAUACUGACGCUGAGACGCGAAAGCGUGGGGAGCAAACAGGAUUAGAUACCCCANUANUC
rnacentral:rRNA from 1 species